GUAUUGGCCAAUUGUGCUAUCUUGUUUUAAUCUACAGUCUAGACAGGAGGAUACCAGUUGUACUGCAGAGUAAUUUAAUUUUGAAUUUGGAACAAGAAAGGAACAGCUGUAUUGAAGCUUGCAAAACUACUAGAUUUUCAGAGUACAAAAUGAUUGAAAUACAAAUACGUGGAGAAGAUUAUGGCCAUUUUGCUACAAUGAAGCUGCGUUAAUUUGUGCAUGACUUAUUGGCAGUUUAAAACUACUCCCCAUGAGCUGAUGUGGAAGGCAUCGAGGCAUUUAACCUAUCUCACUGGCUUUCAGGGAUUUGUCUGCCCUCUCCUUGGCUCCUACAUUCAAAAAGUUUCCCUCCAUGCACCCCAGUAUCUAUCUUGGUGAGGAUUCUGGAAAGAUACGGCCUAUUUUCUUAAUCUUUUGGGGUAGUCAAGUAUAGUUAGAUGUUAUGGUUGGCAUACAGUGCCACUAGUGUGGCCACCGCCAAUCAUGCUGGCUUCAACGCCAUGUUGAUCGCUCGGAGAUUUCAUCCUUAAGCUAGCAAAGUAUUUCUAAGUUAUGUUAUAAUCUCUAAAUAAGGGUCCCAUCUCUUGUUAUCCAAUUAGUUGGUCUAUUACAAUUUAGUUGCUAUCAUGUGUAGCAGCUCCACAUUAUUGCCAAUCCAGCAAAGAAAGAAGUCCCCAUCUCUAUCUCCUCUCCCUAUAUUUCCCCUCUCCUAGACAUGUUAGCCAAGUACCUGAUCUUCCUGAUCACCAUGGCAUUUGGGGGCAUCAAACCUGAUCUUCCUAGUACCUGCAACUACAGUCUUCACCAUAUCCACUAAAGAUUCUGAGAUCCUAAUUAAUUAGAAGUGAUAAAUCAAGGCCCUGCAUUUUGAGAUCCACUUGAUCACUUUUUGUAAGUGAGCUUAAAUUCUCUUUAUUUUUCUGGAGUUACUGCACCUUGGGGUAUCCAACUCCAUAGAACCCACUAGUCUGUUAGUGUAAGCUUCAUCCUUUUUGUUAGCUCAAUCACAAAAAAUAGGUAUUCUCAGCUGUUUCACCAGAUCACUAGCUCUUAAUAUGCCUAAAAGGGACAGGAUUGUAGUACAUAACCUCAUUAGUCCUCAGGGGCAGAACCAUCCCACUUAACACAAUAUUGCAUCGCCUGGAGGCAUAGCACUAGCUGCACCAUUAAUAGUGCUGGCCCUUACCAACUGCCCCCUCCUCACAAUCCAUCGAACUGUUCCACCCCUUUUCUACAACCUCUGCAUCAUCACCAUCAAACUGUUUCUCCCCUACUCUGCUCACCGCCACCACAAAAAUAAAAGCACCCUCAACCACCCAACAUGAACUGUGGGCUCCAUGGUCAGUGCCAUCAACACCACCUUGUUGGCCCCAUUCCCUGAUUUAGCAUAAUGAGCACAAUCCUAAAGUCACUACAGUACAGAGCUGUCUAUGAUAUGAAAGAAAAAUAAUUGCACCAUACUCAUCCAUCAAACAGAAAUACAAAUAUUCCAGAUCUGGCAAAGACUUUGCUGGCCAGUGGUCACUUAGGCUUCUUUAAGACUACAAAAAGACUUUAACGACAAGUCGAUAACCAGUUGGGUGAUGUUGCAAAAUUAAAAAAAAAUUAACCAGCAGGCAGACCUCGCAAUGCAAUA
rnacentral:lncRNA from 1 species